AAGUCGUAACAAGGUUUCCGUAGGUGAACCUGCGGAAGGAUCAUUAAUGAGUUUAGGGUCUCAUCUCGAGCCCGAACCUCCAACCCUUUGUCUAAAACACUUUGUUGCUUUGGCAGGCCCGUCUGACAAUCCCUUAACCGGGAUAGACGACCGCCGGGGGCGUUUAGUCACCUCUGGUCAGUGCUUGCCGAUAGCCUAUUCAAAAAUUCUUUAUUAAAUCAUGUCUGAAAAAUCAUAAUUAAAUAUAAUUAAAACUUUUAACAACGGAUCUCUUGGUUCUG
rnacentral:misc_RNA from 1 species